AGCAGUGGGGAAUUUUCCGCAAUGGGCGAAAGCCUGACGGAGCAACGCCGCGUGAGGGAGGAAGGUCUUUGGAUUGUAAACCUCUUUUCUCAAGGAAGAAGUUCUGACGGUACUUGAGGAAUCAGCCUCGGCUAACUCCGUGCCAGCAGCCGCGGUAAUACGGGGGAGGCAAGCGUUAUCCGGAAUUAUUGGGCGUAAAGCGUCCGCAGGUGGUCAGCCAAGUCUGCUGUCAAAUCAGGUUGCUUAACGACCUAAAGGCGGUGGAAACUGGCAGACUAGAGAGCAGUAGGGGUAGCAGGAAUUCCCAGUGUAGCGGUGAAAUGCGUAGAGAUUGGGAAGAACAUCGGUGGCGAAAGCGUGCUACUGGGCUGUAUCUGACACUCAGGGACGAAAGCUAGGGGAGCGAAAGGGAUUA
rnacentral:rRNA from 1 species